GAUGAACGCUGGCGGCGUGCCUAAUACAUGCAAGUCGAGCGAAUGGAUUAAGAGCUUGCUCUUAUGAAGUUAGCGGCGGACGGGUGAGUAACACGUGGGUAACCUGCCCAUAAGACUGGGAUAACUCCGGGAAACCGGGGCUAAUACCGGAUAACAUUUUGAACCGCAUGGUUCGAAAUUGAAAGGCGGCUUCGGCUGUCACUUAUGGAUGGACCCGCGUCGCAUUAGCUAGUUGGUGAGGUAACGGCUCACCAAGGCAACGAUGCGUAGCCGACCUGAGAGGGUGAUCGGCCAGACUGGGACUGAGACACGGCCCAGACUCCUACGGGAGGCAGCAGUAGGGAAUCUUCCGCAAGGGACGAAAAUCUGACGGAGCAACGCCGCGUGAGUGAUGAAGGCUUUCGGGUCGUAAAACUCUGUUGUUAGGGAAGAACAAGUGCUAGUUGAAUAAGCUGGCACCUUGACGGUACCUAACCAGAAAGCCACGGCUAACUACGUGCCAGCCGCCGCGGUAA
rnacentral:rRNA from 1 species